UACAGAGGGGGCAAGCGUUAUUCGGAAUUAUUGGGCGUAAAGGGCGCGUAGGCGGCCUGGCAAGUGGAAGGUGAAAUCCCUCGGCUUAACCGAGGAGCUGCCCUCCAAACUGCUUGGCUUGAGUCCGGGAGAGGUGAGUGGAAUUCCCAGUGUAGCGGUGAAAUGCGUAGAUAUUGGGAGGAACACCAGUGGCGAAGGCGGCUCACUGGACCGGAACUGACGCUGAGGCGCGAAAGCGUGGGGAGCGAACAGG
rnacentral:rRNA from 1 species